rnacentral:rRNA from 1 species
AACGAACGCUGGCGGCGUGCCUAACACAUGCAAGUCGAACGUGAUUGGAAGCUUGCUUCCAUGAAAGUGGCGCACGGGUGAGUAACGCGUAGAUAAUCUACCUGAUGAUUCGGGAUAACACUUCGAAAGGGGUGCUAAUACCGGAUAAGCCCACGGAGUCCUUGGACUCUGCGGGAAAAGGGGGGGAUCGCAAGACCUUCCGUCAUCAGAUGAGUCUGCGUACCAUUAGCUAGUUGGUAGGGUAAAGGCCUACCAAGGCGACGAUGGUUAGCUGGUCAGAGAGGAUGAUCAGCCACGCUGGAACUGAGACACGGUCCAGACGCCUACGGGAGGCAGCAGUGGGGAAUUUUGCGCAAUGGGGGAAACCCUGACGCAGCAACGCCGCGUGAGUGAUGAAGGCCCUUGGGUCGUAAAGCUCUGACAGAGGGAAAGAGAUGCAGGGGAGCUAAUAUCUCCCUUGCUUGACGGUACCCUCAAAGGAAGCACCGGCUAACUCCGUGCCAGCAGCCGCCGUAAAAC